UUGACUGGGGCGGUCGCCUCCUAAAAGGUAACGGAGGCGCUCAAAGGUUCCCUCAGAAUGGUUGGAAAUCAUUCAUAGAGUGUAAAGGCAUAAGGGAGCUUGACUGCGAGACCUACAAGUCGAGCAGGGUCGAAAGACGGACUUAGUGAUCCGGUGGUUCCGCAUGGAAGGGCCAUCGCUCAACGGAUAAAAGCUACCCCGGGGAUAACAGGCUUAUCUCCCCCAAGAGUUCACAUCGACGGGGAGGUUUGGCACCUCGAUGUCGGCUCAUCGCAUCCUGGGGCUGUAGUCGGUCCCAAGGGUUGGGCUGUUCGCCCAUUAAAGCGGUACGCGAGCUGGGUUCAGAACGUCGUGAGACAGUUCGGUCCCUAUCCGUCGUGGGCGUAGGAAAUUUGAGAGGAGCUGUCCUUAGUACGAGAGGACCGGGAUGGACAUACCUCUGGUGUACCAGUUGUCGUGCCAACGGCAUAGCUGGGUAGCUAUGUGUGGACGGGAUAAGUGCUGAAAGCAUCUAAGCAUGAAGCCCCCCUCAAGAUGAGAUUUCCCAACUUCGGUUAUAAGAUCCCUCAAAGAUGAUGAGGUUAAUAGGUUCGAGGUGGAAGCAUGGUGACAUGUGGAGCUGACGAAUACUAAUCGAUCGAAGACUUAAUCAA
rnacentral:rRNA from 1 species